CACGUAGGGGGCAAGCGUUGUCCGGAUUUAUUGGGCGUAAAGAGCUCGUAGGUGGUUCGGUAAGUCGGGUGUUAAACCCCCAGGCUCAACCUGGGGACGCCACUCGAUACUGCUGUGACUAGAGUCCGGUAGGGGAGCGUGGAAUUCCUGGUGUAGCGGUGAAAUGCGCAGAUAUCAGGAGGAACACCAGCGGCGAAGGCGGCGCUCUGGGCCGGUACUGACACUGAGGAGCGAACGGG
rnacentral:rRNA from 1 species